rnacentral:rRNA from 1 species
AUUGAACGCUGGCGGCAGGCCUAACACAUGCAAGUCGAGCGGAGCGGCGGACGGGCGAGUAAUGCCUAGGAAUCUGCCUGGUAGUGGGGGAGAACGUCCGGAAACGGGCGCUAAUACCGCAUACUAUCAGAUGAGCCUUGGUCGGGUGAGCUAGUUGGUGGGGUAAAGGCCUACAAAGGCGACGAUCAGUAACGGGUCUGAGAGGAUGAUCAGUAACACUGGAACUGAGACACGGUCCAGACUCUUACGGGAGGCAGCAGUGGGGAAUAUUGGCCAAUGGGCGAAGUCCUGAUCCAGCCAUGCCGCGUGUGGGAAGAAGGUUUUCGGAUUGUAAAGCACUUUAAGUUGGGAGGCGUUACCAACAGAAUAAGCACCGGCUAACUUCGUGCCAACAGCCGCGGUAAUAC